AGUUCCAUCAGCCGAAGGUACCAUAAGAGCAGACGACGGCAGCAGGACUUCUCCGGUCACUGUGUCUCGAUCGAAACAUCGGGUCCCGUUGCCCAGCUGCCGGUGCUACUGCAAUGCAUCUGGAAAAAAGCUUCAGCUGAUGUUUGUUGUGCCCAUCAAGAUCUAGGCUGUCUCUGCAUCGUUGACCACAAAUAGCCGCAAGUGCUGAUUGCUGCUGGUUGACUCAGUCCAGAAUCUGGCCUCACAAAUUCAAUGAGCCUCGCUGAAAGUAUCACUGCCAAAAUGGCGUGCAACACCCCUUCCAAAGUUGAGGUUGGCACGCAGUCCAGUUUGCCUCUGGCUGACAAGUCUGUCGGGUGCUCGUUCGAAGCAGG